UCAGUUGGUUAGAGCGCGCGCUUGAUAAGCCGUGAGGUCGGAAGUUCAAGUCUUCCCAGGCCCACCAGCCUUCGCGCUUCGCUGCUUCGGCUAGGCAAGCCCUUCGAAAUGAAGGCUGCCACGCCGUAGCCUUGGCGAAGGCGGGCUAAUCAAAUGAGCAUUCGUCUUCUGGUUACGGGGCCAUAGCUCAGCUGGGAGAGCGCGUGCUUUGCAAGCAUGAGGUCGUCGGUUCGAUCCCGUCUGGCUCCACCAGAUGGUUUGAUCACCGCGACGUUGUACCGUCGUCCGCGAAACAUCACUUCGCAUCCUGCUAGUCUGGAUAGACAGCAAGAUGCGUGUUUUCUGACAUCGUAAAGAGGAGAUCGAUCCGAGUUGGGUCGUGCAGCAGAUUGUUGCGCGGAUCCUUCAUUAUCUCCGGAUCAUUUUCGGCGCUCGCUUUCAGCCGUGAGGUUGAAUGCGAGUUGUAAAAUGAUCCUUUUAGCGAAGCUUGACCGCCUCGCUAUCGGAACGAUCUUACGAAGCAAGCUGGUCUUUCUAGUCAAUGUCCGGCUGCAGAUAGCGUUCAUCGAGGGCGCCUGCCUUAGAGAUUUCGGUCUCUUGGCAGUUCUGCAGACAACAUUCUGCCGAGUGUGUGGACAUUGAUAAUGAGAGCAAUCAAGUGCCUUAAGGGUGUUCGGUGGAUGCCUUGGCGCUGAGAGGCGAUGAAGGACGUGCUACGCUGCGAUAAG
rnacentral:rRNA from 1 species